CCUACGGGAGGCAGCAGUGGGGAAUUUUGGACAAUGGGCGAAAGCCUGAUCCAGCAAUGCCGCGUGAGUGAAGAAGGCCUUCGGGUUGUAAAGCUCUUUUGUCAGGGAAGAAACGGUGAGAGCUAAUAUCUCUUGCUAAUGACGGUACCUGAAGAAUAAGCACCGGCUAACUACGUGCCAGCAGCCGCGGUAAUACGUAGGGUGCAAGCGUUAAUCGGAAUUACUGGGCGUAAAGCGUGCGCAGGCGGUUUUGUAAGUCUGUCGUGAAAUCCCCGGGCUCAACCUGGGAAUUGCGAUGGAGACUGCAAGGCUAGAAUCUGGCAGAGGGGGGUAGAAUUCCACGUGUAGCAGUGAAAUGCGUAGAGAUGUGGAGGAACACCGAUGGCGAAGGCAGCCCCCUGGGUCAAGAUUGACGCUCAUGCACGAAAGCGUGGGGAGCAAACAGGAUUAGAUACCCUGGUAGUCCACGCCCUAAACGAUGUCUACUAGUUGUCGGGUUUUAAUUAACUUGGUAACGCAGCUAACGCGUGAAGUAGACCGCCUGGGGAGGUACGGUCGGUCGAGAAGUUAAACGUAACUUAAAUUAGUAAGUUAGACGGCGUGAGACGNGCCGACGGACGACGACGAGGGAGGAGG
rnacentral:rRNA from 1 species